CAGGGUUUGAUCAUGGCUCCCGUUGAACGCUGGCGGAUGCUUUACACAUGCAAGUCGAACGGCAGCACGGACUUCGGUCUGGUCGAGUGGCGAACAGGUGAAGUAAUGUAUCGGAACGUGCUAGUAGCGGGGGAUAACUACGCGGCGUAGCUAAUACCCUGCCACGCCCUUCGGGGAAAAGCGGGGAGACCUUCGGGCCUCGCACUAUUAGAGCGGCCGAUAUCGGAUUAGCUAGUUGGUAGGGGUAACGGCUCGCAAAGGCGACGAUCCGUAGCUGGUUUGAGAGGACGACCAGCCACACUGGGACUGAGACAGCCCAGACUCUACGGGGAGGCAGCAGUGGGGAAUUACUGGACAAUGGGGAAACCUGAUCCAGCCAUCCCGCGUGUGCGAUGAGGCCUUCGGGUUGUAAAGCACUUUUGGCAGGAAAAACAGCACGGGAUAUUACCCCGUGUAAUAAACCACAGAAUAAGCACCGGCUAACUACGUGCCAGCAGCCGCGACAUGCGAGGUGCAGCGUUAAUCGGAAUUACUGGGCAAAGCGUGCGCAAGGCGGUUUCGGAAAGAAAGAUGUAGAAAUCGGAAGCAACUCGGAACUGCAUUUUUAACUACCGAGCUAGAGUGUGUCAGAGGAGGUGGAAUUCCGCGUGUAGCAGUGAAAUGCGUAGAUAUGCGGAGGAACACCGGCGAAAACCGGCCUCCUGGGAUAACACUGACGCUCAUGCACGAAAGCGUGGGAGCAGAGCUGGGUUAGAUACCCUGGUAGUCCACGCCCUAAACGAUGUCAACUAGCUGUUGGGGCCUUCCGGGCCUUAUUGUACCCAACUAACGUGAAGUUGACCGCCUGGGGGUACGGUCGCAAGAUUAAACUAGAAAGGGAGCUUGACGGGGACCCACGCAAGCGGUGGAUGAUGUGGAUUAAUUCGAUGCAACGCGAAAACUCCCCACCUACCCUUGACAUGUCUGGAAUCCCGAAGAGAUUUGGGAGUGCUCGCAAGAGAACCGGAACACAGGUGCUGCAUGGCUGUCGUCAGCUCGUGUCGUGAGAUGUUGGGUUAAGUCCCGCAACGAGCGCAACCCUUGUCAUUAGUUGCUACGAGAAAGGGCACUCUAAUGGGGUGCGGUGACAAACCGGAGGAAGGUGGGGAUGACGUCAAGUCCUCAUGGCCCUUAUGGGUAGGGCUUCACACGUCAUACAAUGGUCGGGACAGAGGGCCGCCAACCCGCGAGAGGCCAAUCGAAAACCCGAUCGUAGUCCGGAUCGCAGUCACCGCAACUCGACUGCGUGAAGUCAGAUCACUAAUGUCGCGGAUCAGCAUGUCGCGGUGAAUACGUUCCCGGAGUCUUGUACACCGCCCGUCACAUCGUGGGGUGGGUUUUUACCAGAAGUAGUUAAUAACCGUAAGGAGGGCGAUUACCACGGUAGGAUUCAUGACUGGGGUGAAGUCGUAACAAGGUAG
rnacentral:rRNA from 1 species